GCAUUAAGAACGUCGGAGGUAUAAUUGCAAUUAUAACCUGUGGAAUAAGUGAAACUGUCACCGAUGUCAUUGACAUUUUUGAUAAAUGUGUUAUCAUGAGCUCUAUGUAAAGAAGAAAUCGGGCUAUAAAUUAGUUCUGGUUGAGGAACAAAGGAAGGAGCCAAAUUAUCCAAAAAUUGAUUAGACAAAGUAGACGGUAGACUGGGGGAUGAAUUCUUGAAAGCUGAUCUAAAACGUUUAAUAUUUUGCCAAACAAAAGAUGGUUUAACUUCAGCCCAGGAACACUCACUAUCCCACCAGGGAGGCAAUGGAAUAUUAUUUGAGGAAGGCUUCUUUGAUGGAAAAACUUCGUCAGCAGUCUCAAUAAUAGCAUGUGCAAAAGCUUCAGAACUCCGAUACACAUCACCUUGGCUUAAGAUAGAAAGAGUUAAGAUCUUAUUAUCUAGGGUAGCUUUGUAUAAAUCCCAGUCUGCGCUAGCCAACUGAUAUUUAAUUCGGAAAGAAGUUUUAGUUUUAUUAAAAUUUUUAAAAGGUAAAUUUAUUAAAAUGGGGAAGUGAUCACUACCAUAAGUGGAGUUUAAGGUUUGCCAAAUCAAUAAUGAGGCUAAACUAGGUGAAGAAAUGGAAAGGUCAGGAGCACUUUUACCUUCAUUAAUAUUGGUUCUUCGUGUAGGAGUGCAAUUAUUUAAAAUACAUAGAUUAAGUUAAUUUACAAUGUCCAACACUUCAUGUCCAUAGUUAUUAUUAUUUGAACUACCCCAUGACUGGUGUUGAGCAUUAAAGUCACCUAAAACAAGUAUAGGUUUGGGAAGAGAUACUAAAAUAUUUUUAACUUCUUUUAAAAUUUGAGAAGAAGGAUGAGGAAUAUAUAUAGAGACAAAGCAAAUGUUAUUUACAAUGAUAGCAAUGAUUGAGAAAUUUUUAUCAUGAGAAGUAAUAUUUACAAGAGAAAAAGAAAGAGGAUGUUUUACUAAUAUUGCAACACCACCAUAGCCAUCAGAUCUAUCUUCUCUAAUACAAGAAUAUCCUUGAAUUUUAAAAAUGGAUUUAGGUUUUAGCCAGGUUUCUUGAAGACAUACUAUGGUGGGAUGAUACUUAUUAAUAAUAUGGAUAAGAUCACUUUUCUUACUAUUUAUACUACGACAAUUCCACUGAAUUGCCUUGGCGUAACUGUCCAUUAUGACUAAUAUAAUUAUUUAUAAUUUCCAUUAUUGGUUGGGCUACGUUGGACGGUUGAUUUUGAUUUAAAAUAUUUAAUAAAGUAAUUAUAAGUUCGACAAUAGAUUGUUUAGAUGAA